rnacentral:rRNA from 1 species
GACGAACGCUGGCGGCGUGCUUAACACAUGCAAGUCGAACGGAAAGGCCCUGCUUUUGUGGGGUGCUCGAGUGGCGAACGGGUGAGUAACACGUGAGUAACCUGCCCUUGACUUUGGGAUAACUUCAGGAAACUGGGGCUAAUACCGGAUAGGAGCUCCUGCUGCAUGGUGGGGGUUGGAAAGUUUCGGCGGUUGGGGAUGGACUCGCGGCUUAUCAGCUUGUUGGUGGGGGAGUGGCUUACCAAGGCUUUGACGGGUAGCCGGCCUGAGAGGGUGACCGGCCACAUUGGGCCUGAGAUACGGCCCAGACUCCUACGGGAGGCAGCAGUGGGGAAUAUUGCACAAUGGGCGGAAGCCUGAUGCAGCAACGCCGCGUGCGGGAUGACGGCCUUCGGGUUGUAAACCGCUUUCGCCUGUGACGAAGCGUGAGUGACGGUAAUGGGUAAAGAAGCACCGGCUAACUACGUG